rnacentral:rRNA from 1 species
UACGGAGGGUGCAAGCGUUAUCCGGAUUUACUGGGUUUAAAGGGUGCGUAGGCGGACAGGUAAGUCCGUGGUGAAAUCUCUGAGCUUAACUCAGAAACUGCCAUGGAUACUAUUUGUCUUGAAUACUGUGGAGGUAAGCGGAAUAUGUCAUGUAGCGGUGAAAUGCUUAGAUAUGACAUGGAACACCAAUUGCGAAGGCAGCUUGCUACACAGUUAUUGACACUGAGGCACGAAAGCGUGGGGAUCAAACAGG